rnacentral:rRNA from 1 species
GACGAACGCUGGCGGCGUGCUUAACACAUGCAAGUCGAACGGAAAGGCCCUGCUUUUGUGGGGUGCUCGAGUGGCGAACGGGUGAGUAACACGUGAGUAACCUGCCCUUGACUUUGGGAUAACUUCAGGAAACUGGGGCUAAUACCGGAUAGGAGCUCCUGCUGCAUGGUGGGGGUUGGAAAGUUUCGGCGGUUGGGGAUGGACUCGCGGCUUAUCAGCUUGUCGGUGGGGUAGUGGCUUACCAAGGCUUUGACGGGUAGCCGGCCUGAGAGGGUGACCGGUCACAUUGGGACUGAGAUACGGCCCAGACUCCUACGGGAGGCAGCAGUGGGGAAUAUUGCACAAUGGGCGGAAGCCUGAUGCAGCAACGCCGCGUGCGGGAUGACGGCCUUCGGGUUGUAAACCGCUUUCGCCUGUGACGAAGCGUGAGUGACGGUAAUGGGUAAAGAAGCACCGGCUAACUACGUG